UCACCCUCACCCUCACCUUUGUUUGGAGCUCUCAUCUCACUUUCACUUACCAAUGCUUCCUGUUUCUGUGUUAGCUGAUCGUUUUGAUUUUCCAUUGGAUCAGUCUUUUGAAAUCAAUCUGCAAUUUCCAACUGGAUUUUUCUGGGUUUUCAAGCAACCCUAGAUCCAGCUUCAAAUUGCUUACAUGUGUUGGUUAAACCCAUAAUUUAACUGGAAGCAAGGUGGGCAGAGGCUUCAAACAAAGAUGCAUAUUUCCCUUCCUUUUGGUUUGCUGAGAUGCAUGACCGUCCAACCAUCUUAGCUAUUGCUGGAAGAGUAUACUUAAGUGUUAUAAUACCCAGGAGUUAAUCAAUCGAACAUUAUGUAUUGAUUAAGCUUGAACAAGUCUUAGUUCUAUAAUUUUGAAAAACAAUGUGCACUAUGUAGGAGAGAUCUGUGACUGAUCGCAAAACAAGAGCUGCUAUCUUCAGGUUUUUGUCCAACCCCGAACACUUUGUAUCCUUGUUGAUGAUAGGAAUGUGCAGGGGAAAAGGAUGUUGUAAAAGAACAAAUAUUGUAUGUAAGGCGCCAUACUGUCUGGUAA